rnacentral:rRNA from 1 species
CCUACGGGAGGCAGCAGUGGGGAAUAUUGCACAAUGGGGGAAACCCUGAAGCAGCGACGCCGCGUGAGUGAAGAAGGUAUUCGGUAUGUAAAGCUCUAUUAGCAGGGAAGAAAAUGACGGUACCUGAGUAAGAAGCCCCGGCUAACUACGUGCCAGCAGCCGCGGUAAUACGGAGGGGGCAAGCGUUAUCCGGAUUUACUGGGGGUAAAGGGCGCGUAGACGGCAGUGCAAGUCUGGAGUGAAAGGCGGGGGCUCAACCCCCGGACUGCUCUUGAAACUGUACGGCUGGAGUGCAGGAGAGGUAAGUGGAAUUCCUAGUGUAGCGGUGAAAUGCGUAGAGAUUAAGAGGAACA